GCGGUAGCAAGUGGAUUUGCAGCAGAAACACCCUGCUAAAGAACAAGUAUCUUGGUUCCCAGCAAAGAGGACAAAGGAGAACAGCAAGUUAUAGGGAGUUGAAUGCUGGAUUGUGUACAAUAUGGUGAUUCAAGUCUAUUCCUUGCUCAGUGCUCAUCAUGGGUCAAGAGAAGAUUGCGGUGAAAAUGGGAGAGCAGAGGGAUGGACUUCAGGACCCUCCUGACGGCGUUCCAGGGGACGACUUCACUCCCAGCGGAGAGACUGCAGGCCAGGUCUCAAGGCUUGCUAGGGCCCAGAGUAACCUCUUAAUAGACCAGGUCGACUCUCCUGCUCUUUGUCGUAAUGUACUAGAGGCACCUUGCUCGUCUUGAUGUCCUGCAGAAAAUUACACCGAUCCAUUGCAUUGAUGACAUUUUGAUAAUCAGAUCUGGUGCUCCCGGUGCUGGGGAAAUGUCACUGUGAGAAGAAUAGAAAACUUAUUCCAAAGAGUAUUGAAGACUGACUGAAUCAGGUCUGGAACAUUAUUGAAACGCAUUGACUUUGAGAUUUUUCCAAAUACUUGGAGACACUAUGUGCAAAGACACAGUGUGUGGUCUGCUUAAUGUCAAAUGCACUUACUGCCAGAAUGAUUAAGAGUUCAAAGAAAUUGCACACAAAGGCCGACACAGGAACAAAUCUCCAACGUGCCUUACCUGAGAAGUACCCUGCAGAUAAGUGGAUCGUAUUCUUCUAUACAAGUAUAAAUGGGAUAAUUAUGCGUUGAAGAAAAAGGCAUUCAAUGAGGAGCAAAUGGCAAAAGCAAAUGUGUUAAGAUUCUAAAAAUGACUACUAUCCUAGUAAAAAAUGACUACAUUUUAUACUAUGUGCUAUACACACACACAUACUCACCUGAUCAGAUGGGCGCUACGGAGUGUGUCUGAAGGCAGCAGGUUUUGCCAAUUGUUCUUAUCCGGUUUCUUCAGUUGACUGACAAAAAAGUACCAAUAAAUGCGCAGUUAGCAGUUCAUAGCUAUGUGCACUCUGGCCAUUGCGAUUCUGAGAAAGAUGGGCAAGUUGGCUUUCUCCACUCUUCUACCAAACCUCUGCUCAACACUUCUCGGAGGUGCUGUACAAAUCAGACAAUGUAACUGAGUCAUCGUCAAUGUUGAAUUUUAAAAUUUGAUCAUCUGAAUAUUGGAAGAAAGAAUCAUUCUAAUGAUUGCGGUUCUUCUGAGCAGUUCUUAACGUAUUUUGUCACAAGGCUCACAUUUCAGAAGAUAGAGAAAAGAAAAAUAAAAUUACCAUUAUGGACUGAAGUCUGAGAAGCUGGUAAAAAAGUGUGAGGGUUUGGAGAAAUUUUAACACAAGUUCUUAUAAUAAGUUGCUGAUGAGAUUCCAGCGUCAUUGUUGAUAACAUGUGAUGACACGUGGAGAAUAAGGGAGGCAUCAAAAGAUGCAAAAAUACCGUGGCAGAGACAUCUAGUUGCUCACCCCAAGAGUCAGUCUCUUUUUCUUCUUUCCUAACAGGACUAAAGUGAACUAAACAGAAGUAGCGAAACUGAUUUCAUUUGGGGCAAUGUUUUCAAUGGCUGGUGACAAUAUUCUGGCCAAGGAAAUCCAAGAGCAGGUGUUAAUGCGAGUUCUGGGUUGACCAAGAUCACUGAGCCAGGAAGAGUGGCUCUUUUUUCUCUCUGCUGUUCUAGCAACUGUCAUCCUGUAAUGAAGCCAUCUUGGGUCAUGGCAGAGUCCGAAAGAGGGAGGUUAUGAGCUGAGAACAGUGAAAGUGACAAUUGAGACACGGAUUCUUCAUGGCUCCAUGGACUGUCUGCCACUGACCUGUCUAUCUCUGGAUUCUCUUAUUUCAGGAAAAAAUAAAACACAUCUCUUUGAAUGAGAUUAUGUUAUUAAUGGUGAAUGUGUUAUGCAACUGAACCUAAUCCUAACUGAUAAAAUAUCCAGAGUCUAUAGACGGGCUUCAAGGACUAGACACAAGUGUGUGUAAAUCCCAGGAAAAACCCUUGAAGAGAAUUCUAAGUCACUUGGAAAGCACUUUGGGAAAGAAAUUGUGAUUUAUAGGGGAUAAGACACAUUCAAAAAGAAUAAUUAUUGCCAAAUUACCUUCAUUUAUUUGGACCUCGUUAUCAGAUUAGUAGCUUUCAUUUAACAGCAAACACUUGGGGAAGAUUGACUACUUGCCAGGUGCUGUUUGAAGUACUUUACAUGUAUUUUUUUUAUAAUCAUCGCACAGGUACUGUGAAAAUCCUCACCCUGCAAACGGUGAAACCAAGGCACUAAGGUUUAUAUAACCAAUCCAAUGAGACACGGUUAUGAAGGGGUGGAGACAAGACACAGCCUGAAUAGCCUGAGUUCAGAGGUCGCUCUAAUUCGUACUCUACAUUGUCCUUUAGAGGAAAGCCGUCGACAACCAGUGGAUUACAAUUUUGCCACUAGACACAAUCUCAUAAUAGUGGCAUGGAGACAUGGGAGAUGAGCACUGGAUAAAUUCAUGAUGCUCAACCACUGUCAGCCUGGAAGUCUCCUGACAUAUGUCAAGGUUCUUAAUCCAUUCAUGUUUAGAGUUUUAUUAACGGCUGCAGACACAGAAGAUACCUUUUAUCAAGUGUGUGAGGACCAAACUAAGUUUAGCCUGCAAAAGAGAACACCUGUGGAAACAUGGAAGGUCUCAUUAAAAUAAUUAUUCCAUAAUUUUAGAGCCUUAGCAGUCUCCAACAUCAUCAGUUUAGUGGCCCUUCCUGGAGGCAAGAAGGCAAAGUGAUACAAAACCCAUGGGGACAAUAUUUUGCAAUACUGUAAGAAUUGACAAUAUAUUGAAAAAACAUGUACAUUUACCCUUUAAUCCAGAAAUUCCAUUUCUAGGGCAUUAUUGCAAAGAUACACUAGUGAAAAUGAAAAAAAAAAAGCAGCAAAGCAGCACAAAUUCAUAAAGCUCUCCAUUGUAUACUAAUUACAUAUAACUUAGUUUCCUUAACAAAUAAAUUGUAAGAAAAGAAUAAAAAUGAAAUGGACAGGGGGCACCUAUAGAGUCAAAGAGACUUAACUAAUUGUAGUGACAGGUCCUUAUUUGCAUCCUGAUCCAAGCAGAGAGAGACGGGCGGGGAGAGUACAUGUUGGAGAAAGAUGAACUCUGCCCUUAGAGUUAAGAUACUUAGGAAUUGUUUUUAAUUUGGGAGAGAAUAAUAAUGGCAUUGGGGUUGUUACAAAGUCAGAGCCCUUAUGUCUCAGAGAAGCUUUCAAUCAUUAUGGAUGACUUGAUAUGGUAUCAGGGAUUCGCUUCAACACAAACCCAGGGAGGAGGGAACGAGGGUGAAGGUAAAGGUGAAAUCAGAUGAAUCUCAAGCUGAUAUCUUUACAGCUGGAUGUCAACUAAAAGGAGCACUCAUUAUCCCAUUAUACUGAUUUUUGUACGUUUGAAAUUUUGCAUUGUAAAAAGUCAUACUUAAACCAUAUCUCUGUUGAAACUAAAAUAUUCAAUUUGCCAAAAAAAAAAAAAAAAGUUUUCCCACUUGCAGCGUACGGAUGCAGAUCUUUAAAAAAAGAAACUCACCAAGAAGGAAACACAAUGAAAUCCUUAAGGAAAAACUCACUGAAUUUAAGCACAGGUCAUUCAUUCGAUCUUUCGCAGAGCUAAGGAGCCAAUUUGGGACUCCAGAAACUUACUCCAGUGGUCUAUUUUGUGGCUGGCUUGCAGUCAAAGGGCACUGAUGUCAAAGGCAGUGCACUGUUUCCUGGGUUGCUGGAGGGGAACCAAUCAACCAAAGUUCUACGGAGACAUAUUUUGACUCAAAAUAACAAAAAGUCUUUCCUACAAUUGGAGCUACUGGGCAGCACAAUGGGAUUUUUCUCUAGGUGCUGCACAGCCCCAGGCGGGGUGAAUGCCUGGAUAGAGGCUUGAGGGCCGCUGGUAUUGUAAAGGAUGUGACAAAGAGAAUUCCUGUAUCAGCUUCGAGGCUGCGCGAGGUGACCUUGAACCUCCCUUCCUAGUUGAUGAUGCCAUAAUUCUAUAAUGAGAGGAUCCUUCUUGUUUCGACACAUAACCCAUAACUCUUGCUGGAGGGCCGGCAUGCACCAAGGGCAGCAUUAGUACCUGACUUGAGAGAAAAACACUUGAUUGUAAGAAACAAACUGAUACAGUCCUUCAACAAACUAAAAGCUUGAAGACUCAAAGUAUUAAUGCUAAAUAUUUACAGUUGUAGUAGUUUGGCUUUUAACGCAUAUAUUGAAUUCUUAGAAAGUGCAAUGGGCUAGGAAAUAGACCAUAGAGAAUAAAGGAGACCAGGCCCUGGUCCCAGUUCUGAGUGCCCAGAUGGGUCUGGGACCCCCUGCCUCUGCUCCCCCUCUGCUGGGAGCUGCCCAUGGCCCACCAUUCCUGACCAGCUAUUUCCUGCAUGGAAACUUGCUCCUAGACAAAGUUCUGAUACCUACCUUGUAGAGCCAAGUGUGAGCUAAAAGCAACAUGUCGCCAUUCUCAACCAUGUUUCUUAAAGCUUUAUUUCUAACCAGAGUGAAAAGACUUAUUUUUCUUAAAAAAAAAAAAAAAAUUCCUAGUGUCAACAAAUAAAUGGGGUGAUAAUUGAGGUUGGAGUUCUGGAAUGGUACAGUAUAACCGGCCCAGCUAUUCUGAUGAUUACAGAGAGAAGUUAACUCCAUGGUCUACAUCACAGUGGGUCAGGGCCCUGCUGCCUCAGGCCAAAGGUGAAUGCCAUCUAGGACCUCAGAGUUAGCCUUGCAAGGACAGAUCAGGAAGGAUAUAGUGCCAGCCUUCCAGAGAGAUCCAUAAGGGAGUCCAUUCUGCCCCUGUGAUACUAUUAGCUUCUCCUUGCUGCCACUUUUUCCUCUGAUUGUCAGUGACGUGGAUCUCGGCUCCAUUUUAUAUGGGAUAUUUAUGAUAUAAUUCUAAUAGCCCCUGCUUUUCAAGAGAUGGUUAUAAACACCAGAUGGAUAUUAUAAGAAAAUUGGAUUGCUCUGUGGUGAGUGAGAUAUGGAAAGGCCUUUUCUGAACCAAGCAAUAGACAGAAUUGUAACAACAAGUUGUGUCUGAAAUAAAAUGGUUCCUAGAUCAGAGGUGACACUGCCUUUUGUAAAGUGUGAAGCUGUUCCUUCUUCUGGGUAGAAUGAGGAUUUAAAAAAAAAGAAUAACACGGAUAUGUUAUGAUCGGCCUUAAUUCACAAAUAUCUACCUAUAUCUAUGAAUACAACAAUGAGAGUCUUUAAAAGGCUACAUAUUUAAUGUUUCCAUGCUUGAUGGAGAGCAAAUCUGAUUUGUCCCUGCAGAUAAAUUAUCUUGAGCUCUAGAGUUCUAAAGGGUUGACUUCCAACAGUCACCUGCUAGAUUUCCAACACAUCCAGUACUCAAUUAUAUCUCCUCUUUUACAUUUCAGGCCCUACGUCAACGUGCCCUUGACAUUGCCUUUCAGUUCACUCUCCCAUCUUCCUUAGUCAUUUCAGCACCUAACUCACAAUUUUGCUUCUUUGUGUGACCUCUGCCAGCAUCCUUGGUGCCCUAUCAAGUUUAUGACCGUUCUGGAACCUUACCAUAGCGCGUAACAGCUUGUAUCGCCAGAUCACCAUGAGGGACCCGCACUCCUUGCCAGUCUCCGAGCUUUCAGUGGCCUUUGUUCAGAGCACAGGCUCCUGUCUCUUUUACACUCAGUUAAAAUAAGAAGGGAUGAUAUCUGCAAAGACAUGAAUUCCCAACUAUGCACACUUGCGCCCUGAAAGAUGACAGAUGUGCACACCUGUGUGUACAAACCAGUACGGAGUUUGAGUCCCUGGUUGAAGAAAGACUUCCGAAAGGUCAUCUCUUUCCCCUAUGCAAACAAUCUCACCUUGUUAGGCCACCUUGGGGGAAAAAAUCACCAGAAUUCUUGUGUGAGUCUUUCUGGCCAUGGUGGGUCUUUUAGUUACUAAA